AUUGAACGCUGGCGGCAUGCCUUACACAUGCAAGUCGAACGGUAACAGGUUAAGCUGACGAGUGGCGAACGGGUGAGUAAUGUAUCGGAACGUGCCCAGUCGUGGGGGAUAACUGCUCGAAAGAGCAGCUAAUACCGCAUACGACCUGAGGGUGAAAGCGGGGGAUCGCAGGACCUCGCGCGAUUGGAGCGGCCGAUAUCAGAUUAGGUAGUUGGUGGGGUAAAGGCCUACCAAGCCUACGAUCUGUAGCUGGUCUGAGAGGACGACCAGCCACACUGGGACUGAGACACGGCCCAGACUCCUACGGGAGGCAGCAGUGGGGAAUUUUGGACAAUGGACGCAAGUCUGAUCCAGCCAUGCCGCGUGCGGGAAGAAGGCCUUC
rnacentral:rRNA from 1 species